rnacentral:rRNA from 1 species
UACGAAGGGGGCUAGCGUUGUUCGGAAUUACUGGGCGUAAAGCGCGCGCAGGCGGCUAUCCAAGUCAGUGGUGAAAGCCCGGAGCUCAACUCCGGAACUGCCAUUGAAACUGUUUAGCUUGAGGAUGAGAGAGGUGAGUGGAACUGCGAGUGUAGAGGUGAAAUUCGUAGAUAUUCGCAAGAACACCAGUGGCGAAGGCGGCUCACUGGCCCGGAACUGACGCUGAGGUGCGAAAGCGUGGGGAGCAAACAGG